rnacentral:rRNA from 1 species
GAUGAACGCUGGCGGCGUGCCUAAUACAUGCAAGUCGAGCGAACGGACGAGAAGCUUGCUCCUCUGACGUUAGCGGCGGACGGGUGAGUAACACGUGGAUAACCUACCUAUAAGACUGGGAUAACUUCGGGAAACCGGAGCUAAUACCGGAUAAUAUAUUGAACCGCAUGGUUCAAUAGUGAAAGACGGUUUUGCUGUCACUUAUAGAUGGAUCCGCGCUGCAUUAGCUAGUUGGUAAGGUAACGGCUUACCAAGGCAACGAUGCAUAGCCGACCUGAGAGGGUGAUCGGCCACACUGGAACUGAGACACGGUCCAGACUCCUACGGGAGGCAGCAGUAGGGAAUCUUCCGCAAUGGGCGAAAGCCUGACGGAGCAACGCCGCGUGAGUGAUGAAGGUCUUCGGAUCGUAAAACUCUGUUAUUAGGGAAGAACAUAUGUGUAAGUAACUGUGCACAUCUUGACGGUACCUAAUCAGAAAGCCACGGCUAACUACGUG